UAGGGAAUCUUCGGCAAUGGACGAAAGUCUGACCGAGCAACGCCGCGUGAGUGAAGAAGGUUUUCGGAUCGUAAAACUCUGUUGUUAGAGAAGAACAAGGACGUUAGUAACUGAACGUCCCCUGACGGUAUCUAACCAGAAAGCCACGGCUAACUACGUGCCAGCAGCCGCGGUAAUACGUAGGUGGCAAGCGUUGUCCGUAUUUAUUGGGCGUAAAGCGAACGCAGGCGGUUUCUUAAGUCUGAUGUGAAAGCCCCCGGCUCAACCGGGGAGGGUCAUUGGAAACUGGGAGACUUGAGUGCAGAAGAGGAGAGUGGAAUUCCAUGUGUAGCGGUGAAAUGCGUAGAUAUAUGGAGGAACACCAGUGGCGAAGGCGGCUCUCUGGUCUGUAACUGACGCUGAGGCUCGAAAGCGUGGGGAGCAAACAGG
rnacentral:rRNA from 1 species